AUGCCGAUUGCUUUGAGCCGUUGUAUUACAAGUGGCCGUGUUGGACAGGAGGGGCCAGAGAAGUGCUUCCGGUUGUUUGAAGAAUGUGAGUCUGACAUCAUAGGUUUCCAUUUUAUGAAGAAACCAUCAAGACCGUCGCUCCAAGAUCUUAUAUUUGUUAAAGCCACCCUUGGCAUCUUCGGUGAGGGCCACAUGCAAGUCUACCUGCUAACUCAAGCCAUUAGCUCGGUGGAGAGGAACAUUGACGAGCCGGAUCAGUUCGACUGGCCCUGCGACGCGUCUGGCAAAUACACAGCCAGCUCUACCUAUAUGAGGCUCUGCAUUGGAUACACGCGUGCCCCGGCUGCCGGUUGCAUUUCGCGAAGUUGGGCCCCUCUCAAAUGCAAAAUCUUCAUGUGGUUGGCCUGUCAAUACCGGCUAUGGACUUCGGACCGCCGUGCCCGGCAUGGCCUUCAAGACGCCCCAUCCCCUUGCUAUACUUGUCUCCAAGAUGAGGACAACGCGGAUCACAUUCUCGUGCAGCGCGUCUACGCCUGCGAGGUGUGGCACUCCUGUUUCAGCUCAUGGAGAUUCACCAUCCACACGCCAGACGCAAACGCCACAUUCUUGCAAUGGUGGCUUGAGCAAAGGAGUAGAUUCAGAGGGAAGGCCAAGAGAUCCGUGGACUCCGUCGUGAUUCUCAUCGCAUGGGCACUCUAG
rnacentral:rRNA from 1 species